rnacentral:rRNA from 1 species
ACGGGGGGAGCAAGCGUUGUUCGGAUUUACUGGGCGUAAAGGGCGCGCAGGCGGUUUUUCAAGUCAGAUGUGAAAGCCCCGGGCUCAACCUGGGAACUGCAUUUGAGACUGAAGAACUCGAGUUCGGGAGAGGAUGGCGGAAUUCCCAGUGUAGAGGUGAAAUUCGUAGAUAUUGGGAAGAACACAGGUGGCGAAGGCGGCCAUCUGGACCGAGACUGACGCUGAGGCGCGAAAGCGUGGGGAGCAAACAGGA